GAGAUACAAGAGUUCAAAGAUAACCACUCGACGAAUGUAGAGUUACAAUGUCAUUUCAUUCGAAGCAUGUUUUGUUCAUAACAAGAAGCAUAUGAAAUAUAUGCUAAUUGGAGCAUAUCAUUGGCAUAAGAAGCAUAUCCAUGACAUAUGAAAUAUUUCAAAGCAUAUCAAGGACGUAAGAAGUAUUUUGAGGUAUAUCAAUGGCGGAUGAAAUAUUUCGAAACAUU
rnacentral:lncRNA from 1 species